CUGCGCCGAAAAUGUACCGGGGCUAAAUACACCACCGAAGCUGCGGAUUGAUACCAAUGGUAUCAGUGGUAGGGGAGCGUUCUAAGGACAGUGAAGUCAGACCGGAAGGACUGGUGGAGUGCUUAGAAGUGAGAAUGCCGGUAUGAGUAGCGAAAGACGGGUGAGAAUCCCGUCCACCGAAUGCCUAAGGUUUCCUGAGGAAGGCUCGUCCGCUCAGGGUUAGUCAGGACCUAAGCCGAGGCCGACAGGCGUAGGCGAUGGACAACAGGUUGAUAUUCCUGUACCACCUCUUUAUCGUUUGAGCAAUGGAGGGACGCAGAAGGAUAGAAGAAGCGUGCGAUUGGUUGUGCACGUCCAAGCAGUUAGGCUGAUAAGUAGGCAAAUCCGCUUAUCGUAAAGGCUGAGCUGUGAUGGGGAAGCUCCUUAUGGAGCGAAGUCUUUGAUUCCCCGCUGCCAAGAAAAGCUUCUAGCGAGAUAAAAGGUGCCUGUACCGCAAACCGACACAGGUAGGCGAGGAGAGAAUCCUAAGGUGUGCGAGAGAACUCUGGUUAAGGAACUCGGCAAAAUGACCCCGUAACUUCGGGAGAAGGGGUGCUUUCUUAACGGAAAGCCGCAGUGAAUAGGCCCAAGCGACUGUUUAGCAAAAACACAGCUCUCUGCGAAGCCGUAAGGCGAAGUAUAGGGGGUGACACCUGCCCGGUGCUGGAAGGUUAAGGAGAGGGGUUAGCGUAAGCGAAGCUCUGAACUGAAGCCCCAGUAAACGGCGGCCGUAACUAUAACGGUCCUAAGGUAGCGAAAUUCCUUGUCGGGUAAGUUCCGACCCGCACGAAAGGUGUAACGAUUUGGGCACUGUCUCAACCAGAGACUCGGUGAAAUUAUAGUACCUGUGAAGAUGCAGGUUACCCGCGACAGGACGGAAAGACCCCGUGGAGCUUUACUGUAGCCUGAUAUUGAAUUUUGGUACAGUUUGUACAGGAUAGGCGGGAGCCUUUGAAACCGGAGCGCUAGCUUCGGUGGAGGCGCUGGUGGGAUACCGCCCUGACUGUAUUGAAAUUCUAACCUACGGGUCUUAUCGACCCGGGAGACAGUGUCAGGUGGGCAGUUUGACUGGGGCGGUCGCCUCCUAAAGUGUAACGGAGGCGCCCAAAGGUUCCCUCAGAAUGGUUGGAAAUCAUUCGUAGAGUGCAAAG
rnacentral:rRNA from 1 species